rnacentral:rRNA from 1 species
AGAGUUUGAUCAUGGCUCAGGAUGAACGCUAGCGGCAGGCUUAACACAUGCAAGUCGAGGGGUAUAGGUUUUCGGACCUAGAGACCGGCGCACGGGUGCGUAACGCGUAUGCAAUCUACCUUUUACAGAGGGAUAGCCCAGAGAAAUUUGGAUUAAUACCUCAUAGUAUUAUUGAAUGGCAUCAUUUAAUAAUUAAAGUCACAACGGUAAAAGAUGAGCAUGCGUCCCAUUAGCUUGUUGGUAAGGUAACGGCUUACCAAGGCAACGAUGGGUAGGGGUCCUGAGAGGGAGAUCCCCCCACACUGGUACUGAGACACGGACCAGACUCCUACGGGAGGCAGCAGUGAGGAAUAUUGGUCAAUGGGCGCAAGCCUGAACCAGCCAUGCCGCGUGCAGGAUGACGGUCCUAUGGAUUGUAAACUGCUUUUGUACAGGAAGAAACAGUUCUACGUGUAGAACCUUGACGGUACUGUAAGAAUAAGGAUCGGCUAACUCCGUGCCAGCAGCCGCGGUAAUACGGAGGAUCCAAGCGUUAUCCGGAAUCAUUGGGUUUAAAGGGUCCGUAGGCGGUUUUGUAAGUCAGUGGUGAAAGCCCGUCGCUCAACGGCGGAACGGCCAUUGAUACUGCAAGACUUGAAUUAUUAGGAAGCAACUAGAAUAUGUAGUGUAGCGGUGAAAUGCUUAGAUAUUACAUGGAAUACCGAUUGCGAAGGCAGGUUGCUACUAAUGGAUUGACGCUGAUGGACGAAAGCGUGGGGAGCGAACAGGAUUAGAUACCCUAGUAGUCC